AUGAAUAAAACCAGAAGUAAUGCAAGGUAAACUGUGGUACAGUUGAUUGAGCGUAAACAGGCUGAAAUCUAUUAGCUAGCCUCUGCUUUGUAUAUUCCACUGGGACUUCCCUGCCCCUUACUGCUAACAGCUAUACAUGUGCUGGCAGGUAGGUAGGUUAGGUUUUUUCUAAAAAGACAUAGAACAGGUUCAUGUGGUCUUAGGUCACGUCCUCGAGGACAUCAGUGACUCUCAGAUUCAGCAGCUCGGUUAGGUACAUGCAAGUAGUACGAAGUAACUUUAACACUGAG